rnacentral:rRNA from 1 species
AGUGAACGCUGGCGGUAGGCCUAACACAUGCAAGUCGAACGGCAGCACAGUAAGAGCUUGCUCUUACGGGUGGCGAGUGGCGGACGGGUGAGGAAUACAUCGGAAUCUACUUUUUCGUGGGGGAUAACGUAGGGAAACUUACGCUAAUACCGCAUACGACCUACGGGUGAAAGCAGGGGAUCUUCGGACCUUGCGCGAUUGAAUGAGCCGAUGUCGGAUUAGCUAGUUGGCGGGGUAAAGGCCCACCAAGGCGACGAUCCGUAGCUGGUCUGAGAGGAUGAUCAGCCACACUGGAACUGAGACACGGUCCAGCCUCCUACGGGAGGCAGCAGUGGGGAAUAUUGGACAAUGGGCGCAAGCCUGAUCCAGCCAUACCGCGUGAGUGAAGAAGGCCUUCGGGUUGUAAAGCCCUUUUGUUGGGAAAGAAAAGCAGCAGGUUAAUACCCCGCUGUUCUGACGGUACCCAAAGAAUAAGCACCGGCUAACUUCGUG